rnacentral:rRNA from 1 species
GCCUAAAGCGUCCGUAGCCGGCUAUGUUAGUUUUCGGUUAAAUCCAUGUGCUCAACACAUGGGCUGUCGAGAAUACUGCUUAGCUAGGGAGUGGGAGAGGUAGACGGUACUCUGGAGGAAGUGGUAAAAUGCUUUGAUCUCUAGAUGACCACCAGUGGCGAAGGCGGUCUACCAGAACACGUCCGACGGUGAGGGAUGAAAGCUGGGGGAGCAAACCGGAUUAGAUACCCGGGUAGUCCCAGCUGUAAACUAUGCAAACUCAGUGAUGCAUUGGCUUGUGGCCAAUGCAGUGCCGCAGAGAAGUCGUUAAGUUUGCCGCCUGGGAAGUACGUACGCAAGUAUGAAACUUAAAGGAAUUGGCGGGGGAGCACCACAAGGGGUGAAGCCUGCGGUUCAAUUGGAGUCAACGCCAGAAAUCUUACCCGGAGAGACAGCAGAAUGAAGGUCAAGCUGAAGACUUUACCAGACAAGCUGAGAAGUGGUGCAUGGCCGUCGCCAGCUCGUGCCGUGAGAUGUCCUGUUAAGUCAGGUAACGAGCGAGAUCCCUGCCUCUAGUUGCCACCAUUACUCUCAGGAGUAGUGGGGCGAAUUAGCGGGACUGCCGCAGUUAAUGCGGAGGAAGGAGGGGGCCACGGCAGGUCAGUAUGCCCCGAA